rnacentral:rRNA from 1 species
UACGGGGGGGGCAAGCGUUGUUCGGAAUUACUGGGCGUAAAGGGCUCGUAGGUGGCCAACUAAGUCAGACGUGAAAUCCCUCGGCUUAACUGGGGAACUGCGUGUGAGACUGGCAGGCUCGAGGGCAGGAGAGGAACGCGGAAUUCCAGGUGUAGCGGUGAAAUGCGUAGAUAUCUGGAGGAACACCGGUGGCGAAGGCGGCGUUCUGGACUGUCUCUGACACUGAAGAACGAAAGCCAGGGGAGCAAACGGG